AUAUAUACAUCACAUCCUUCACGCCCACAAUGGAAGUGGACACAUGUCAGUAUGGUUUAUGUGGUUCCCUUGACUUCCCACUCAACUUACUUAAGACGAAAAGAAAACCAUCAGCUCUUUUCACCACGCACAAACACCAACUUGACAGUCCUGUCUGAACCUUUCUACCUCAACUCUUGUGUUCACAAGAUUUGACUUCCUAGACAGAAGGUCCAUUGGAGGCUGCUUCUCCAGGUCAUAAAUUGUAUCAGAUCUCCAAGAACACCAGCAUCACCAGUCAACUAUGAGUCCAGAGAAUGGAUCAAAUAUACUCCUCUGUGAAGCCCUUGAACUUGGUUUGCUUUGCCUGGAAUUAUCUUCAUUCAAAUAUCCUUGUUUACAUUCCUUGAUUCCAUUAAGGUUUAUACUCAUAUUCAUGGCAUAAAAAUAAAUUAUAAUCCAAUAUCAACUUUUGAAAGAUCCUUCCAAGAGAAUUGUCAAAUCCAUAUAUGUAUUAUGUAUGUGUGGGUGUGUGUGUGUGUGCGCGCGCGCGCGCGUGAGCAUGCGUGUGUGUGCGUGUGUAUCAGCCAGCUAGAUUGUCAUUACAGGCUACAUAUGCAGUGUAACUAAUCAAAGAAAAAAAUUAAAAUAUUAAAAUACUUACUUUAUAUCCUUAACGAUGAUCUAGUUUGAUGAUAAAUAAUUAAGAAUUUUUUAAUGGGAAGUACUCAAAAGUUAACAUUAAGUGGCUGUAUAUUUUCUCUGUACAUUAACAUUGAUAUCUCAAAUUAUUGAUUAGCUUGUUUCAGUUGC
rnacentral:lncRNA from 1 species